rnacentral:rRNA from 1 species
UGAGGAAUAUUGGUCAAUGGGCGGGAGCCUGAACCAGCCAAGCCGCGUGAGGGAGGAAGGCCCUAUGGGUCGUAAACCUCUUUUGUCAGGGAACAAAAGCGAGUAUGUAUACUAGUCUGAGUGUACCUGAAGAAAAAGCAUCGGCUAACUCCGUGCCAGCAGCCGCGGUAAUACGGAGGAUGCGAGCGUUAUCCGGAUUUAUUGGGUUUAAAGGGUGCGUAGGCGGCGGUGCAAGUCAGCGGUAAAAGCCCGGGGGCUCAACCCCGGCGAGCCGUUGAAACUGCAGUGCUAGAGAAGGCGAGAGGUACGCGGAAUGCGCAGUGUAGCGGUGAAAUGCUUAGAUAUUGCGCAGAACUCCGAUUGCGAAGGCAGCGUACUGGUGCCUGACUGACGCUGAGGCACGAAAGCGUGGGGAUCGAACAGGAUUAGAUACC